ensembl:lincRNA Gm43269 predicted gene 43269
UCAGUAAGCAGCACCCCUCCAUGGCUUCUGCCUCAGCUCCUGCCUCCAGGUUCUUGCCCUGCUUGAGUUCCUGUUCUGACUUCCUUCAGUGAUGAACAGUGACGUGGAAUUGUGCCAAAUAAAUCAAUUUGCUUUUGGUCAUGGCAUUUCAUCCCAGCAAUGGUAACCCUAACAAAGACAGGAUCCAUCUUCCCAGGUGGAUUUUCUUCUCCUUGUGUUAAAUCUAUCCAGCACACUGGGAGUUAGCUGGACCCAUCUGGCUCAGCACCAGCCUCUGCAGAGCCUGCCCUGGCACGGCCCACCUCACGCAGAAUUCAAUGAGUAUUUCCAUUCAGCCUUCCCACAACAGUGCCAGCCAGUUUGCAGAUGUUGUCAUUGAAUGGGUUCCCGGUCCCUGUGACUUGAAGCAGCAGUUCCAUCAAGCUGCUACAGAAAGACUUUUUUUUUUAAGCUAACAAAACUAAACCCAUGGCUGUUCUUGAAGUGGACUCAUUUGGAAAUAAAAUCUCUCCACAAA